GAACAAACUUUCCUAAGGAACACAUAUAUUUUGAAGCCUCUAACUAUUGAAAAACAAUGAAAAACUGGCGGAACGCCGUUUUACCCCACGGUCUCCGAAAAAAUAUUUCUUGUUGAUAUCCCUCCCGACCCCCUUUUCUCCACAUGAUUUUACCACAAACGUGGUGAAUUUUCGAUCAGCUGACUUGCGCCUGGCUGAUGCUGUUCAUGACAGAUGAGUUUUUGUUUAUGUUUACAUUAUCAAAUAUCGGAGGCUCCAAAAAGUUUUGUGAUGUGAAACCUUUAAUUUUUUUUAACGUGAGCCUGAUAUUUACAAAACUUUUGAUAAGCUCAAGGUGCUCUUACGAGGCACGACUGGAACAUGUGUAAACCGUGUAAACGAGUGUGUGGAACAAAUGGGUUCCGGAAACAACAGAGACAGUUAUAGAACUGGAGAAAGAAGCCGAUUGGUGGCCGAUUAAAACGCCGGUAGAGGUACUUGAGAAUGAAACUACAGGGUGUAAUCGAAGAAGCAGUUGAAGAGCAUACUGCUUCCGCCCUAGCUGCAGAACCCAUUCAACGAACCAGCUAAUCCGACGCAAAGAAGAUACUGGUCACUGUACAUUUCGGCAGCGACGACGUGUUGUUAGCAGAAGUUCCGCUUCUGUCGACUACUGGUAACCGGCUUACAAAUCUGACAACGGGGCAAAGUUUCGACACCGUCCUCCAACCAUGAAGCAUUCCUCCAUCGCCCUCUGACCCGAAUCCAUCGAAAUAUCAUCAUAUCCUCAACGAAGUCGACGAUCAUACUGCACUUUCAGACGCUGAGUGGCAUGAGAAGCACUAGGAACAAUUCCAUGCCACAUUGAAACCGAGCAAGGUAGUUCGUCUAACAUACCGCUGAACCAGAUCUUUAUGUUAUCAUGGACGAACAAAAUGUUCGAACAUUAAACUGGUGUGCAUGACUAUGCUUAGUGUGGGUUUUCUGUGUUUUUCUCUUAAAGAUAGAAUGAGACUAAAUGAACGGAAUAUUUAGCGAUUGCAAUUUUUCAAAGUCUUAAAUUACCGGAAAUAUUUUACUACAAUGCGGGACAUAAGUUUUAUAAUUCCUACUAUUAAACAUUAAUGAUAAAAAAUGUGUGCUUUCCAUAA